rnacentral:RNase_P_RNA from 1 species
GCUGCUUGCUGCUCUAUCGUUCUUUACAUGAUAAAGAGAGGAAAGUCCGGACAACACAGAGUGCCGCACCACCUAACGGGUGGGUUCUGCCGUAAGGCAGAAACAGACAGUGCCGCAGAAAAUAACCGCUACGGAGCAAUCCGGAGUAAGGGUGAAAAUGUAGUGUAAGAGACUACGGUCAGCAGUGGCAACAUCGCUGGCGGGUAAACCUUGCGGGUUGAAAGCUCAUGUAUAUCAGCGCUGAAGUGCUACUCGCACGAUUGUUCGCUGAGGGGUUGAGUGCUACAGGUUUCGUGUGAGCGAAAUCGCAGAUAAAUGAUAGGGGCCCGUCUUUGGAUGGGAACAGAAUCCGGCUUACAGGCAAGCAGUCUUU